UCUGGAGUUUGGCAGAGGGGGGUGGAAUUCCACGUGUAGCAGUGAAAUGCGUAGAGAUGUGGAGGAACACCAAUGGCGAAGGCAGCCCCCUGGGCCGAUACUGACGCUCAUGCACGAAAGCGUGGGUAGCAAACAGGAUUAGAUACCCUGGUAGUCCACGCCCUAAACGAUGUCAACUAGGUGUUGGGAGGGUAAAACCUUUUAGUGCCGUAGCUAACG
rnacentral:rRNA from 1 species